rnacentral:rRNA from 1 species
AGUCGGAAUCCAUGCUGGCUAAGCAGUGUUGUCCACCACUUCCAUGGUUACAUGACAAGCAUUAGGUCUCGGCCCUGUUGCAUAUGAGCCAUAUCUACCGUUAAAGGUUGUGUGGUAAAUCUCAAUUUCAAUCUGUGGAAAUGAUAAACCUUUUGCAGACGACUUAACUGAAUCCAGGUAUUGUAAGUGCUGAGAGUAGCCUUUGUGCUACGAUCCACUGAAGUUCAUCCUGUGUUUUUCUGGUU